rnacentral:lncRNA from 1 species
UUAAAGAAAUAAGAUCGCCUGAGGAAAGGCAAGGAUCUGGAUCAUAUAAUCAUGGGGGGCCUGCUGAGUUUAUACAGGCUACGGAUAUAGCUCAGUUAUUGGAGCUGGAUUCAAUAGGUGGAGAGUAUACUUGGACAAAUAACUCCCCAGGGCCUAAUUUCACUCAAACAAAGUUGGAUAGGGCCUUUGCAAACCAAAUUUGGAUUGGUACUUGGCCUGAAGCAAGGGUGGAAUUUCACAAUGGAACCAGUGACCACAAAGCUAUGCUAAUCACAUUAUCUCAGGU